rnacentral:rRNA from 1 species
GACGAACGCUGGCGGCGUGCUUAACACAUGCAAGUCGAACGGUAACGCUCCAGCUUGCUGGACUGGAUCAGUGGCGAACGGGUGAGUGACACGUGAGCAACCUGCCCCUGACUCUGGAAUAAGCACUGCAAACGGCGUCUACUACUGGAUACGAGAAGGGUCCGCAUAAGCACUGUCUGGAAAGUUUUUCGGUUGGGGAUGGGCGCGCGGCCUAUCAGCUUGUUGGUGUGGUAAUGGCUCACCCAGACGACGACGGCUAUCCGGCCUGAGAGGGCGACCGGCCACACUGGGACUAAGACAGGGCCCAGACUCCUACGGGAGGCAGCAGUGGGGAAUAUUACACAAUGGGCGAAAGCCUGAGGCAGCGACGUCGCGUUUGUGAUGACGGCCUUCGGGGUGGAAACCGCUUUCAGCAGAGAAGAAGCGAAAGUGACGGUACCUGCAGAAGAAGCACCGGCUAACUACGUG